UAACUGAAGAGUUUGAUCAUGGCUCAGAUUGAACGCUGGCGGCAGGCUUAACACAUGCAAGUCGAGCGGGGGAAGGUAGCUUGCUACUGGACCUAGCGGCGGACGGGUGAGUAAUGCUUAGGAAUCUGCCUAUUAGUGGGGGACAACAUCUCGAAAGGGAUGCUAAUACCGCAUACGUCCUACGGGAGAAAGCAGGGGAUCUUCGGACCUUGCGCUAAUAGAUGAGCCUAAGUCGGAUUAGCUAGUUGGUGGGGUAAAGGCCUACCAAGGCGACGAUCUGUAGCGGGUCUGAGAGGAUGAUCCGCCACACUGGGACUGAGACACGGCCCAGACUCCUACGGGAGGCAGCAGUGGGGAAUAUUGGACAAUGGGGGGAACCCUGAUCCAGCCAUGCCGCGUGUGUGAAGAAGGCCUUAUGGUUGUAAAGC
rnacentral:rRNA from 1 species